AAGGGACGAAAGGAGGUCUUCACCAAGCUGGAGAUAACAAUGGAACCCAACCCGACCGACCGGCCGCCAAAGAGCGUCCUGUGUCAGAGCUAACUCUCAGCCCCUGCUCACCAGCUCCACAGCUGUCUGCCACCCAGACCGCUUCCAUGCAUGGGGAGCCACCAAAGACAGCCAAGGUCAGGUAGGCUGGUGUGCCGGGUAAGCAGCACUGACCGGGUGUUACUUGAUCUGCAGGGAGUAUUCACUGGUCCUAGGCCUUGCGCUCCGGGACCUUCUAACCUAGGGGUCUUUGUUUCGGUAGGUAUCCGGCUCACGUCUAACUCCUUCCUGCCACAGCCUUAUCUAUGGUGGUCAGGAUAUCUUGGAGUUACUGCUUUGUAUGGGAGCUCAGCGAAAUGCAAGCGUCUUUGAGGUCAGAGGCAGCCUGCGAUUCUUCCUCAGGUCUACACGGGCAGUUUGUCUCCCUUUAGACCAACAUCCACAAAGCUACUCACUCCAUAAGGUGUACCUGAGAGAAGAAGAGCUGGUCAGUGUCACGCCCCACCUUCCCCAGCUCGAACCCGGGAAUCCCCAAGCUCUCUCGAACGAACGUGCCUGACUGAUGCCAUGCCGAAGGACGCCGUCCCCUCAGUGUCUGAGGAGAAAUUUGCCCAAGAUUGCCAUGCCAGGGGGUCCGGUCGGAGCCACGGACACCGGAAAGAGGAAGAUGCUCCCCUCGGCUCACAGAACGUCGCACACCUAGCGUCUCCCCGCUGCUUCAUUGUACUUUCUGAGUUCCUUUCUUUGGGCUCUGAUGGUUUAGCCAGUGAGACUUCUCUUCCCAGGUCUCUCGUGGGCCUCAAAAGGAAAUUGUUAAAUGGGCCCGGCCACGGUUUCCCUUGAUCAAAGAGAUUUAGAUCAUCUGUUCUGCGACACCCCCGCCCCCCCUUCCCGAAUAGGUGGAAAAAAAAAAUGUGUGUGUUUACGUAUUGAAAUCUCAGUCCCUUCCU